GGAGAGGUGGCCGAGUGGCCGAAGGCGCGGCAUUGGAAAUGCCGUAUAUGGGAAACCGUAUCGCGGGUUCAAAUCCCGCCCUCUCCGCCA
rnacentral:tRNA from 2 species